AAAACAGACCACACUUGCAAGACCACGGCAGCACUUGUCAGGAAAGUCACUUGUUUAACAGCCAACGACACGUUCCAGUACCCCACUUGUGGCAAACGACACGUUCCAGGUACCACACUUGUGGCAAACGACAUCCAAGUCAGGGAUCCAACAAACGACUACAGUAUGUAUCAGAAGACGACGCUAGCUACACCACCAACCAGCGAAUCAUGCUGGUCAGGACCGGUUUCAGAGCAGGCGCUGCAGC
rnacentral:lncRNA from 1 species